UGUGAUUUUCAAGGAAUGAACAACUGAAAAAGAAACAACAGACAGAUCAGGUCCAAGAUAAACAUCCUGAUAACAUAGUUGCCCUUGUAUGGGCAGUGCAAAAACAAAUGGGAAGCAUUUUCUGAACUCAAUCUACACACAACACAAAAAUACGGAGAUAAAACAGUUAGUGGUUUUUCUAAUUUGGAGUUUGUCAUUGGUAUUAGUCCAAAUUGAUUUACCUUAGAGGGACCAAUUGAUUUCCAAAUUGGCGUCUUGAAUACGAAGCCAGUAAACUAAUCUCUCCUCCGUUGUGUGUAGAGUAAUCGAAUAUGAUAUUAAGAGUGAGCGAGUCCGUAGCGCUAUGGGGGGGAAUGGUACUUUAACCUCAAACUCAAAUUUCAACAUUAAGAACAGAAGAAACAAGAAAACCGACAUGGAGGAGGAGCUGUUUUCUGAAUACGAGGAUGUGCAGUGAGAUGUUUGGAUGACGGAGAAGGCUAUGCAGAUGUACGCUUUCAUGGCCUUCUUCUUGUUCCCCCGAUAAGUUCACUUUCACCAUAUUGAUCCCAAAUCUUGAAAAAAACGGACAACAUCAAACAAGACUGUCUUCAUUAUGUCCACUCCAACAAAAACAACCCAAAAAGAGACAUGUGGAUUUCGUAUAAAAUUUUCCGGCAGCGGUUCACGGUCUUGUUUGUGGUGGCUGUUGCAGCAGCAGCAAAACAGUCUUUUUUUGUUGGUGGUGCUUGUGCUAGUGUCACAAUAUAUCUGAUUUUGAUUUCAAUAUAGUAGUGCUGCCUCUUGUGUUGGCUUCUUGUCAUGUACUAAACAUUUUUAUUCUUAACAUUAAUAUUAGACAAAUUUGAACAAUGCUUACGCUGUUGAAAUGA